rnacentral:ncRNA from 1 species
CUUGAUUCUCUCGCUUGCACCGGUUCCGGUGAGCUACGGCCCUCGAGGCAGGGAGAAUUUCAUUUCCAAAGAGGC